rnacentral:lncRNA from 1 species
AUGCUGCGUUUCUUCUACCCAGAAUGCUGCAGUGAGAGGAAGUGGUCUCUGCUUACGCUGAAGCUCAGGGCUGUCCACCCGAUCAGUAUAACAGCGCAGGCAGAGAGGACGAGGAGCGCAGACGGGAGAGAACAGACGGCGAAGAUGGUGACGCGGAGCGCUCUGCGCGACAAGACCUCCUUAAAACGAAGAAUAUUAUCGACGAGGAUGGCGUCGACCCGUCCAGAUGAAAGAGCAGGUCGCAACGGUGGGAACAUGGAAAACUGUGAAGAUUUCAACUGACGGCAACGAAGAGAAACAAGGAUUUAACUGUCUACGCAUUUUAAAUUCGCUUUGUCCUUGAGAGGACAUAAUGUCCUUGUAACACUGAAAGCGGAAAAAAUAAAUUAAAUUUAAACAUUGUUGUAAUAAUGCAGUUUUGGACGUUCCAUUUCCAUUAUCGACAUUUUGAAUGUCUUUUGUUGAUUUCAAAUGUUUCCUUUGAAUAAACAAUUUUAUUGGACAUUUUAAUGCAUUUGUUGUGUGUUAAUUACUUUAAAAAAUUUCUUUUUUUCCCCCUGAUGUACAUUGUUUGACGGACAACGAAGAAGAAACAAGGUAAUUUAACUCUCUACGACUAUUUAAUCGCUUGUCCUUGAGAGGACAUAAUGUCCUUGUAACACUGAAAGCGGAAAAAUAAAUUAAAUUUAAACAUUGUUGUAAUAAUGCAGUUUUGGACGUUCCAUUUCCAUUAUCGACAUUUUGAAUGUCUUUUGUUGAUUUCAAAUGUUUCCUUUGAAUAAACAAUUUUAUUGGACAUUUUAAUGCAUUUGUUGUGUGUUAAUUACUUUAAAAAUUUCUUUUUUUCCCCCUGAUGUACAUUGUUUUGAACUUAAGAGAACAUUGUGAAUGUGUCAACUUACCAUAGGAUUUGGCACAUAAUUUUGAUGUUUUACUUGAAAUAAAGAUUCUAUUGUUAUCUGCAUAAAAUGUAAUUGUUAAACAUUUGUUCAUUUUAUGGUUCUUUUCCACUUGGUAAUUAACUUAAAGGUAUCCACUUGUAUUUCUUGUAUUUUGAGAAACAUUUAUGCUGUAUUUUUCAACGUUAAAUAAUAGGGUGUUGGCUUUUAACCCAUUGUGGUCCACAAGAAGCCUUUACAUAUAUGUAUUUUUUUUUAAUGUAGAAACUUCUUUCUUAAUUUCUGUUUUUCCUUUUUGGUCAGAGAUUUAUGUGUAGUACAUUUUUUACCUGAUUAGUACUGUUUUAAAGUAUUAAAUGCCUUAAAAUUGUGCAAAAAUUAUUGAUCAGUAUAUAAAAAAGGUCAAAUUAAACCUGGAAUUGUAAAUCCUCUGGUUGUUGCCACAAUAACAUAGAAACAUAUAACAUAAAAAGUAUUGCUCUUUAGUAUGUCUGUAUUUAAAGUGCAAAAUGUUAACUUUUAAAUAUCAUGAGGUCUUUGCUAAAUAUGUAUAUAGAAUCAACUGUUCACUCCUGUUAUUCAAAAAAACAAAGGUUGCUACAAAUGUUGCAAGUAAGAAUAAAUAAAAAUAAAACAUGAGCCCUCUGAUGUUUCUAUAUCAAAGAGGUUUCUGAUAUAUGUAUGUUCUUUGGUGUAUGUGGCGUAUUUUCACGUUAUGUACAUGAAGUAGAUUUCAAACAGUAGUACUUUCCAUUUACUUGGACAUAAGCUAAAGAAAUUGUAUUUCAUGUAGACAAACCGCAUGACUGAAAUAAAUAUUUCUUUUGAACAUUUUGAUGCUGAAGUGAGCGUAACUAUGUUAAGGAGAAAAUACAAUACUAAUUGUCUUUUUU